AGAGUUUGAUCAUGGCUCAGAUUGAACGCUGGCGGCAUGCCUAACACAUGCAAGUCGAACGGCAGCACAGCAGUAGCAAUACUGUGGGUGGCGAGUGGCGGACGGGUGAGGAAUACAUCGGGACCUGCCCAGACGUGGGGGAUAACGUAGGGAAACUUACGCUAAUACCGCAUACGUCCUACGGGAGAAAGCGGGGGAUCUUCGGACCUCGCGCGGUUGGAUGGACCGAUGUUCGAUUAGCUAGUUGGUGGGGUAAAGGCUCACCAAGGCGACGAUCGAUAGCUGGUCUGAGAGGAUGAUCAGCCACACUGGGACUGAGACACGGCCCAGACUCCUACGGGAGGCAGCAGUGGGGAAUAUUGGACAAUGGGCGCAAGCCUGAUCCAGCAAUGCCGCGUGUGUGAAGAAGGCCUUCGGGUUGUAAAGCACUUUUAUCAGGAGCGAAAUACCACGGGCUAAUACCCUAUGGGGCUGACGGUACCUGAGGAAUAAGCACCGGCUAACUUCGUGCCAGCAGCCGCGGUAAUACGAAGGGUGCAAGCGUUAAUCGGAAUUACUGGGCGUAAAGCGUGCGUAGGCGGUGAUUUAAGUCUGCUGUGAAAUCCCCGGGCUCAACCUGGGAAUGGCAGUGGAUACUGGAUCGCUAGAGUGUGAUAGAGGAUGGUGGAAUUCCCGGUGUAGCGGUGAAAUGCGUAGAGAUCGGGAGGAACAUCAGUGGCGAAGGCGGCCAUCUGGAUCAACACUGACGCUGAGGCACGAAAGCGUGGGGAGCAAACAGGAUUAGAUACCCCGGUAGUCC
rnacentral:rRNA from 1 species